AAACAAUGGAAGCUCUAAGAUUGCACAUGACAUGUCAUAUAAUAUAUAUUAUAUGACAUGUCAUGUGCAAUCUUAGAGCUUCUAUUGUUUGUGU